rnacentral:misc_RNA from 1 species
CAAGAGUUUAGAUCGGCACUGACCAAGAAGAAGAUUUUGAGGAAAUCGGAAACAAUUCUAGAGCAAAUUCCUUUUCUUGAAUGGCUUAAGACGGGAAAGCGGAGGCAGAGAGACCGCCUACCGCCUCUCUCUUCACUGGCUCCCCCCCCUCUGGCUCGCCCUCUAUCGUCCUGCCAAAUCUCCGAUCGAUGGAUAGUGAAACUGGUAAUCAACAUAAGCAUGAACGAUCAAGAACAAAAUGGACAGCAUCUCUUGAUAAGAUAUUUGCGGACUUGGUAGUGAAGCAGAUUCAACUGGGAAAUAGACGAAACAAUGUUUUUGACAAGAGAACUUGGAAUCACAUACGUGAUGGGUUCAACAAGCAAACAGAUCUAAAUUUCAAUAACAACCAAUUGAGAAAACACCUAGAUGUACUGCGGACGCGCUUCUAUAAUUUGAAGUCAGCUUUUGUUCAAAAUGACUUUGCUUUGGAAGAUUCUUGCUGCAUUGGAUUUGACCUGUGGGAAGACGUCGGG